AUUUACGCAUCAAAAAUUUUUCCAAUUUAAUAUAGAUUUCAGUAUUACAAAUUGAUUUACUAAAACAAAAUUAAACUUUUUUCUCUGACUCCGAACAAUGACAAAUAUAUUUAUUUACAGUGUUUGGCAAAUGUGAUCAUAUUUUUGCAAUCGUGAGUAUUUAUGACUCAGAAGGCAAAUAGAAAAGUAAUGGCUUUUCGGGCGUAACAGGCGUUGGAAUAGCAGAGUUAGGUGCAACAUAUUAGACAUUGACAGAUGUGGGCAUGGGGUGCAGACUCCUACUUCUAACGCUGGGUUGACGAACGGGGUGGUAAUUCGAACUGUUUCCCAUGUCGUAAUGCAAGUCAUUUUUUUGCAAGAAAGAUCCAUUGCUGCCAUAGCCUUUUGACUGAUGGUGUUCAUGAAAGUUUGGAGUAGUACAUGCUAUCGUAUUUGGUUCGUCUUCUGAUGUUAUUGCCCGUGACUUUACGGUACCCAUGCUGGAUACAGCAGCAAACGACGUUUCGACGCCACUGCUGCUUUGUUCUGGGUUAUCCUCUAUGGAACUUAAUGUCGGCCGCAAUGACGAUAUCGCCUCCCACACUGUCCGCUGCACAGUGCAACAAAGUUCCUUUGUCUUUGCCGGACAACUCGAAAGUUUGUCCGCAAAUUCGUUUAAGAUAUCCAAAAUUUAAUUUGUUUCGUCUCACCAAAGCACAAGAUAAAUAUGCAAAUUUGUAAAAAGUAACUUCCUUACUUUUGGUUUCUGGUCAAAAAUGGGUGGAGGACUUGAUUUCUAGACUUUCAACAAUGGAAUUAAAGAAAGAAGAAGAGUUCGUCCAAUCACCAACUAUGUAUACAUCAAACGAAACAGUGAUGACAACGUUAAUAUUUUCGUCGUUUUCUAUUCAGGGAUGCCAAUAAGUUAGAUGAAAAAACAACCAGACCUCACCACACUAUUGGAAAAGAACAACAGGAAUUUAAUAUGAAGGCUACUUAUAUUUCUAUGGUGGUUGGUGAUUGCUUUAACCGAUGGCGAUAGUGCUAAACCACAACAAUUUUGAAAUGAAAGGCUAACUGCAUGUUAUCGACAAAGAAAAGACAUUACCAAGUAUAUGCCAUUUGAAAGGAAAAGCGGAAGUCUUUGUCACCAUCACAGUUGCCAUCUGUUGUCAAACUGGAGGUUGAGCUAGAAGUGGAUGUCUAUGAUAAAUGAAA